UACGUAGGGUGCGAGCGUUGUCCGGAAUUAUUGGGCGUAAAGGGCUCGUAGGCGGUCUGUCGCGUCGGGAGUGAAAACUCAGGGCUUAACCCUGAGCCUGCUUCCGAUACGGGCAGACUAGAGGUAUGCAGGGGAGAACGGAAUUCCUGGUGUAGCGGUGAAAUGCGCAGAUAUCGGGAGGAACACCAGUAGCGAAGGCGGCACUCUGGGCCGGUACUGACGCUGAGGAGCGAAAGCGUGGGGAGCGAACAGG
rnacentral:rRNA from 1 species